rnacentral:rRNA from 1 species
AAGCUCACUAGUCGAGUGACUCUGCGCCGAAAAUGUACCGGGGCUAAGCAUUAUACCGAAUCUGCGGAUUGACAAUUUAUUGUCAGUGGUAGGGGAGCGUUCUAAGGGCGGUGAAGGUAGACCGGGAGGACUACUGGAGCGCUUAGAAGUGAGAAUGCCGGUGUAAGUAACGAAAAGAUAGGUGAGAAUCCUAUCCGUCGAAAACCCAAGGUUUCCAGGGGAAGGUUCGUCCGCCCUGGGUAAGUCGGGGCCUAAGGUGAGGCCGAGAGGCGUAGCCGAUGGAUAGCAGGUAGAGAUUCCUGCACUAGUUAGUAAACUGAUGGAGUGACAAAGCAGGCUAACAUCCGCCCCUUAGUGGAUUGGGGACAAGGGAUCAAGUUUUGUGCGUAGGCAAAUCCGCGCACUUUAAGGACAAGAUCCGGUAGGUAAAGGAUGAUGACGUCAAACUUUCAAGAAAAGCUUCUAGGGUUAAUUUACUAACUACCCGUACCGUAAACCGACACAGGUGGGUAGGUAGAGUAUACUAAGACGCGCGAGAAAACCCUUGUUAAGGAACUCGGCAAAAUGACUCCGUAACUUCGGGAUAAGGAGGACUUUUAAUGAAAAAGAAAAGUCGCAGAGAAUAGGCCCAAGCGACUGUUUAUCAAAAACACAGGUCUCUGCAAAACCGUAAGGUGAAGUAUAGGGGCUGACACCUGCCCGGUGCUGGAAGAUUAAGAGGAGAUGUUAGGCAACGAAGCAUUGAAUUGAAGUCCCAGUAAACGGCGGCCGUAACUAUAACGGUCCUAAGGUAGCGAAAUUCCUUGUCAGGUAAGUUCUGACCCGCACGAAAGGUGUAACGAUUUGGGCACUGUCUCAACAAGGGACUCGGUGAAAUCAAGCUGCCGGUGAAAACGCCGGCUACCCGCGACAGGACGAAAAGACCCCAUGGAGCUUUACUGUAGCUUGAUAUUGACAUUGGGUGUAAGAUGUACAGGAUAGGUGGGAGACAAUGAAUCUAGGACGCUAGUCUUGGAGGAGUCAAUCUUGGGAUACCACCCUUCGUGCAUCUGAUGUCUAACUUGCCUGAGUGGAUCAGGGAGGACAGUGUCUGGUGGGCAGUUUGACUGGGGCGGUCGCCUCCCAAAGAGUAACGGAGGCGCCCAAAGGUACCCUCAGAAUGGUUGGAAAUCAUUCGUAGAGCGCAAAAGCAUAAGGGUGCUUGACUGCGAGACCAACAAGUCGAGCAGGGACGAAAGUCGGGUUUAGUGAUCUUACGGUACCGCAUGGAAGGGCCGUGACUCAACGGAUAAAAGCUACCCUGGGGAUAACAGGCUUAUCGCUUCCAAGCGUUCACAGCGACGAAGCGGUUUGGCACCUCGAUGUCGGCUCGUCGCAUCCUGGAGGUGGAGAAGCUUCCAAGGGUUGGGCUGUUCGCCCAUUAAAGCGGCACGCGAGCUGGGUUCAGAACGUCGUGAGACAGUUCGGUCUCUAUCCGUCGUGGGCGUUGGAGAUUUGAAGGGAGCUGCCCCUAGUAUGAGAAGACCGGGGUGGACAUACCACUGGUGUACCAGUUGGCCUGCCAGGGCCAUAGCUGGGUAGCUAUGUAUGGAAGGGAUAAACGCUGAAAGCAUCUAAGCGUGAAGCCCACCUUAAGAUGAGAUCUCCCAAUUUAGU